rnacentral:SRP_RNA from 1 species
GCUGGGUAUGGUGGCACACGCCUGUAGUCCCAGAUACUCAGAAGGCUGAGGCAGGAGGAUCACUUGAGCCCAGGAGGUCGAGGAUGCAGUGAGCUGUGAUCACGUCACUGCACUCCAGUCUGGGCAACAGAGUGAGACCCUGUCUCUU